AUUCUCGAUAGGUGAAGAACUCUGGAAUGAGUCUUUGCCAAAAAGACGUUUACGUUAUGCUCGUAGGCGUCGCCCAAGGAUGAGGCCGCGACCGAUCAGGUUGUUGGUGAGGUAAUGGCUCACCAAGCCUUUUACCGGUGCGGGCCGUGAGAGCGGGAGCCCGGAGAUGGGCACUGAGACAAGGGCCCAGGCCCUACGGGGCGCAGCAGUCGCGAAAACUUUGCAAUACACGAAAGUGUGACAGGGCUAUCCCGAGUGCCAUCCGCUGAGGAAGGCUUUUACCCAGUCUAGAACGCUGGGGGAAUAAGGAGAGGGCAAGUCUGGUGUCAGCCGCCGCGGUAAUACCAGCUCUCCGAGUGGUGUGGAUGUUUAUUGGGCCUAAAGCAUCCGUAGCUGGCUGAGUUAGUCCCUUGUUAAAUCCACCGAAUUAAUCGUUGGAUUGCGGGGGAUACUGCUCGGCUAGGGGACGAGAGAGGCAGACGGUAUUUCUGGGGUAGGGGUGAAAUCCUAUAAUCCCAGGAGGACCACCAGUGGCGAAGGCUGUCUGCUAGAACGCGCCCGACGGUGAGGGAUGAAAGCUGGGGGAGCGAACCGGAUUAGAUACCCGGGUAGUCCCAGCUGUAAACGAUGCAGACUAGGUGUUUGGACGGCCACGUGCCGUUCUAGUGCCGCAGGGAAGCUGUUAAGUCUGCCGCCUGGGGAGUACGAUCGCAAGAUUGAAACUUAAAGGAAUUGGCGGGGGAGCACCACAAGGGGUGAAGCUUGCGGUUUAAUUGGAUUCAACGCCGGAAAUCGAAUUCC
rnacentral:rRNA from 1 species